rnacentral:rRNA from 1 species
GAUGAACGCUGGCGGCGCGCCUAAUACAUGCAAGUCGAGCGAAUGGAUUAAGAGCUUGCUCUUAUGAAGUUAGCGGCGGACGGGUGAGUAACACGUGGGUAACCUGCCCAUAAGACUGGGAUAACUCCGGGAAACCGGGGCUAAUACCGGAUAACAUUUUGAACCGCAUGGUUCGAAAUUGAAAGGCGGCUUCGGCCGUCACUUAUGGAUGGACCCGCGUCGCAUUAGCUAGUUGGUGAGGUAACGGCUCACCAAGGCAACGAUGCGUAGCCGACCUGAGAGGGUGAUCGGCCACACUGGGACUGAGACACGGCCCAGACUCCUACGGGAGGCAGCAGUAGGGAAUCUUCCGCAAUGGACGAAAGUCUGACGGAGCAACGCCGCGUGAGUGAUGAAGGCUUUCGGGUCGUAAAACUCUGUUGUUAGGGAAGAACAAGUGCUAGUUGAAUAAGCUGGCACCUUGACGGUACCUAACCAGAAGGCCACGGCUAACUACGUGCCAGCCGCCGCAGUAA